rnacentral:rRNA from 1 species
ACAGAGAGGGCAAGCGUUGUCCGGAAUGACUGGGCGUAAAGCGCGCGCAGGCGGUCUUUUAAGUUGGGUGUGAAAUCCCCGGGCUUAACCUGGGAACUGCAUUCGAUACUGGAAGACUAGAGGCCGAGAGAGGAAAGCGGAAUGACGAGUGUAGAGGUGAAAUUCGUAGAUAUUCGUCGGAACACCAGAGGCGAAGGCGGCUUUCUGGCUCGGACCUGACGCUCAGGCGCGAAAGCGUGGGGAGCAAACAGG